rnacentral:rRNA from 1 species
UACGUAGGGUGCGAGCGUUAGUCGGAAUUACUGGGCGUAAAGCGUGCGCAGGCGGCUUUGCAAGACAGUUGUGAAAUCCCCGGGCUCAACCUGGGAACUGCAUCUGUGACUGCAUCGCUGGAGUACGGCAGAGGGGGAUGGAAUUCCGCGUGUAGCAGUGAAAUGCGUAGAUAUGCGGAGGAACACCGAUGGCGAAGGCAAUCCCCUGGGCCUGUACUGACGCUCAUGCACGAAAGCGUGGGGAGCAAACAGG